AGCAAUUUCAGAGUCAAUAAAGUAAGUGAGCUAAAGCCGACUUUGCAGAAACAGCAGUCGUUUUUUUACCAAACCAGUGAAAAAAGCAAAUGCUGUAAUCAAAGCGUGAGACGUAAUAAGUAAUAUGGAAGGUUUAAAGAAUUUAGUUAGCUUUUCAAUGUAACUGCGUUGCUCUGUUCUUUAAGUACCUUAAUGGCAUCCGUAGUUAGAGAGAAGGAGAGCAUGCUGGGAGGAAGAGAGCAGAAGGUAACCCACAGCCUUACAGCUAGCGGUGGUGGUUGUUGUUUUAAAGAAAAGAUGGUACUUUUUGAAAUACAACACUAAUAUUUAUUUUUUUCUUCCUCUUUUUUUUCCCGGACAUUCAUAAUAAUUGCCUGACAAUAGUAUGGAUUAUUGUUUCAACACCAGCAAGAUAUACAUUUGUUUUUGUCUGUUGCCAGCGACAGUUAUUAAUGACAAACGUACACAAUGACUUUCUUUUGCAAUGUACUCAGUUGAACUCGCUUUACUGUCUGUAUUGAUCAAACUGCGGAUUACAGGAGCGACUGUUACGUGCUUAUGUUUUUGUUUGUUUACAAGCUCAGCACUCCCUGUAUUGCAUCAGCAAGCACUGAAUAGUUGAAACACAUUGAAGCCCAGCAGCAUCUCUCUUGCUUCAGCUUACCCUGCAGUACCGUUCGUGAUUUGAAAGCUCUCUCUUUCAUUUUCUCAACUGGUGCGAUUGAUUUGAAAACCCUACAAACAACAACUAUUAAACCUACACAAGGCAAACUUUAUUGCUUAUUUUCUAAUUAGGCAACAAAACACCAACUUCACCACAAAAAAAGUGGCAGAGGAAGAUGCACACACACCUGCAGUACAAGUUAAGGCUAUUUUACCACCACCUUUUACUGGUGAUGGAAGUGAAAGUUUUUCUCAAUGGGGCUGCCAUUUCCAAGUGUGCUGUGAAAUAACACCUGGCAUGGGAAAGAACAACUUGCUAAGCUUUUACCAUCCAGAUCAGCAGGGGCUGCAUUCAGUUACUGGGACAGUCUUUCAGAAGCUGUGAAGAAUGAGUACGAUGAGGUGAGCAAGAGCAUGCAAUCUGUUUUUGGAUAAAAUCAGGUCAUUAAAACUUUUCAGACAUAGUUAAAUGCUAGACUUUGCCAAACCCACAAGCAACUUGAAGUUUAUGCUGACCAGUUAAGAGGCAACAGGCUUUCCCUGAUUAUGGAGAAGUAGCUACAGCAGGGGAAACUUUCCGACGUUUUAUUGUUGGACUUGACCCUGUGUUGCAAGCUAAAAUAUAUGAAUUUGGAGCUAACACGCCAGAAGAAGCACUUACAAUUGCAUGUUAGUGUGAGCGAGCCCACACAACAUUACAGGAUACAUUUCUACCUGGCUGUAGCUCAACUAAUACAUUGGCAUGUCACAACCCAGUAGUGAAUGCACUAGUAAUGACAGCGCCCACUGCUGUUCACAGCCUGCCAGAUUCUAAAGCAGAAAGGUUUGCUGCUUAACUUGAUUAACUCAUAUUUAAAAUGGAGCAAUUGCAGUCUGAUGUAAAUUCUCUGAGGCAUACCUACUCAGAUAACAAGAAGUAGUCCUGGCAGCACACUCACAGCGGUGAGCUAUGCAUGCUUACCUGACCGGAAAAGUAGUUUUACCUCACACGGAAGAACACCAUCUUCUGAGAGGGACUGAGGUGACGACUUCUGCUGGCACUCCAGGGACCAUCAAUGCCCAUCUGUGCGUGACACAUCCCAUGAUGCACGAGAGGAGCAGUUUUACACAAGGGGACGAAGUCUCUCACGCAGUGACCAUGACUACCACGACAGGUCUAAUCGGAGUCCCAGCCCACAUGAUAGGCGACUGGAUCACAGACAUGAGGAGAGACCUCCACAGUAUUACCGUCGUUCACCUAGCCCAGUGCCACACCAUCAAAGGUGGGUCAAUUUCACUGAAUCACAGAAUUCAGGAAACUGGCAUUAGCUGGAGAUGAGGGCUGCCCUGUCUGAUGAGACCCAACCUCGACCAUCCAAUCAACCUUGUAUGCAACACCAGAAUAACAUCUCACCUAGAGCAGUCAUUCUCCGUCAGUCUUUUGUGCCGCCUGCUGUGCCUCCUGUGACACCUGCUGCCUCUGACUCUGCCAGUGACCAUGGUGAUGUUUUGCCUCCAUCCACUUCGGAGUCACCACAUUUAGACGGUCCGACCGCUGAGAUAGCCCCUCGCUGUACAGACACUGACUCAGCCCAUUUCACCCAGACCACGAUUCGCAGACCUGUUCAAGGACUUUGUUCUUGGUUAAGUCAUUGUUCUUAUUUUGCUAGUACAUGGGUUUUUCUUUUGUUGUUUUCUGAUAACACAGUACUGAAAUGUGUAUGUUUCUUUCCCACGGUGGAACUAAUGUGAGAUGUAGUAAUGAAUAUGGAAAGGGUUACAGCAUUUAGUUAGCUUUUCAAUAUGUGUGUUGUUCUAUGCUUUUAGUACCUUUAAUGGCCUCCGUAGUUGGAGAGAAGAGAAUACUGGGAGAAAGGGUGGCGUGAUGAGGAGUGGGGGAGAUGGAGUGUAGUUUGCAGCGAGUCCACCAUCUUUUGUUUUUCCUUCUGAUGUUAUCCAAUACACAGUUUAGAGAUAUAUCUGCUGUCACUGUUCAAUUGUUUACCUGAUUGCUGAGUCGCUGUUGAAUAAAUCCUGUUUCAGAGGUUGAUGCACAAUCUUGUUGUCCUGCCUGAUUUAUCCUUCACGCUACCAAACCAGAGAACAGAAGGUAACCCACAGCCUUAAGGAAGCCUCUUUCCAAGUUGCUUCCAAGACGACAUUUACAGAUGGUGGAUUGGUAAAGGGCGCAAUGACUGUCAUGGCCGAAUUUAAAAAAACAAGUCAGAAAUAAUGUCUGCUAUAACUGAUGUGCAACUGGAAGCUAACACUGUAGCAAGGAAAGUAUCCACAUUAUCUGAAGAUGUCUGUGGACAGUUAGAUUGGGAUUUAUGGUAUCAGUGGUUUUCAAUGCAGUGUGAUGAAUCUGUUGACUUGAGCAACA